rnacentral:rRNA from 1 species
GACGAACGCUGGCGGCGUGCCUAAUACAUGCAAGUUGAGCGAUUAAGAUUGGUGCUUGCCCCAAUUUGAAGAGCAGCGAACGGGUGAGUAACGCGUGGGUAAUCGGCCUUUGAGCGGGGGACAACAUUUGGAAACGAAUGCUAAUACCGCAUAAUAACUUUAAACAUAAGUUUUAAGUUUGAAAGAUGCAAUUGCAUCACUCAAAGAUGAUCCCGCGUUGUAUUAGCUAGUUGGUGAGGUAAAGGCUCACCAAGGCGAUGAUACAUAGCCGACCUGAGGGGGUGAUCGGCCAAAUUGGGACUGAGACACGGCCCAAACUCCUACGGGAGGCAGCAGUAGGGAAUCUUCGGAAAUGGACGAAAGUCUGACCGAGCAACGCCGCGGGAGUGAAGAAGGUUUUCGGAUCGUAAAACUCUGUUGGUAGGGAAGAACGUUGGUGAGGGUGGAAAGCUCAUCAAGUGACGGUAACUACACAGAAAGGGACGGCUAACUACGUG